rnacentral:lncRNA from 1 species
AAGGCCCGGGUGCACGGGCGCAGACCGGACAUUGCGUGCUCGCUCCGGAAGAGCAAGGACUGUGAAUGUCCUCAGGUCACCUGAGAUGAUCUUCGUUCGACGACAGGUGGUGAUGGUGAUGGUGCUAGUGCUGGUGGUGCUCUUGGUGAUGCACCAGUCGGCAGGACAGAGGCGGAUUGUGUCCUUUUUUGGCCAGGCUGGCCGGUCAUGCGUGACAUCUACCGGCUUCCUCGGAAACUGCGUCUCAGCGAGCAGCUGCCGUAUAGGUGGCGCCACCUUCGGCCGCUGUCCCGGCUUUACCGUCUGCUGCCUUCGAGUAAGCAGCACCUCCAACGCGCGGACACCACGCCCGACAACAGCUCGGCCGGCCGUGGUCCGCCCGACGCCGGCCCGGCGCCGCCUCUGCACCUAUCGAGUGCCCGUGUCGUCAUUGACUUCCAGCGACGGGCAGCUGGCUAGAUCUGGGCGCUUCAGACGAAGUCCUCAGAGGUCACGACCUAGCAUCUGCGAUUGCCGUUAUGAAAUCCGUGACGGUAAGCCGCAAAAGGUGUGCCCUUUUGUAGCUGGAUGUCAGGUGACUGGGCCCGAUUCCCAGGCGGUGGGGCUGAUCGGAACCCGCCGGCCGACGCUGAACCUGAACAGCGUGCUCUCCCAGCUCAGACGGCCGAGACCGACCCAGUAUCGGACCGUGGUGACACUCUGCUAGGUCAGCAGGGGUCACGUGAGGUCAAAUGGGGUCAGCUGAAGUUAACAGAGGUCAUACGGGGUCAGCUGGAAUUGGCAGAGGUCAGACAGAGUCAACUUGAGUUGGUCAUAUGAGGCCAGCAGAGGUCAUAGGUACGGGAUCAGAUGGAACUAACAGAGGUCAGACGGGGUCAAAAAGGUUCAGCUGAGGUCAGCAUGGGCCAGAACAGUUCAGUCAGUUGGCCAGCUUGAUAAAGUCAAAUGCUGUCAGAAGAACGUAGAUAAUGAAUGUUUUCUAGUGCUGUAAAUUAUGUUGUUGAUAAAUAUACAUAGGUGACAUAGUCGCAUAGUUCUGUGAUGAUAAAACACAACACAUGCAGCACUGAACGAUUAUGUAUAGAAAGAGAGACAUGGAAAAGCAAAGCCCAAACAGACUCCAUCUAAAUUCAUUGAAUAAAACAUCGCAUACUGUUAUUGGAAUUGCAUUAUUAGAUACAAGCUUUUUGCACCAAAUGCAAAGUAAAACAUGGUAAAAACUAUUUGUUACGUUAUCAAACUAAUGUUAUGUGAACACCUCUGAAGCCUCAUUGCAAAUUGAAUUGAUCGCGACCCGCGACUACAACAUUAAAAAGCUUUAAACAUCAAAUGCCAAAGCGUUUACAGGCAACUUUUGUGGCCGGUGGCAUUUAGAAAAUGGACAGCCGGAACCUUAUUGACAUAUUAAUGGAACAAAUGGGUCCCCAACAAAACAGACGCGCUGGAAUCAAACGAAGGACGUUGCGUAGUUCUAAGCGAUGAGUUGUAAAAACGUGGGUGCUUGCAUGUAACAGCGCCUUUAUUUGAUGACUUAAGUGUGUUCGACGCUGGUGUGAAACUGUGAACUAACUGUGACAUACAGAUGUAGCCUGAAGACCCUGCAUGUAUGUUUACAACCGAUGUGGCGACUGGCUACUGUACUCACGGAGAGCCGUGUGCACCAGCUUAGCGUUUUUGAUAGCAUGUAUGUAUGUAUGAAUUUACGAUCAUGGGCGAUCCACACAUGGCGUGGCGAUUACUGCCCAUGCAGUAAUCGCCGCAGUGAUUAAGCAAUCAUCUUCCAGGGUCGUCUUCAGGAUCGAAAUAUUUGUACCUAUGCCCCUGCAGCUGACGUUACUUGUACGACCAUGCGAACUGCGAAGUAGCCAGUGGGCUGUCAUUGUGCUAAUGCUAAUGCAAUACUAAUGCAAUAAAUACUUGGGCAUUAAGUUCAAUUAACGAACUUUCAGAGAUGGCGCUGAUAGUGGAUAGAGGCCAGUGUUCAAACGUGUGUGUAUGGUGAACUUGUUAAAUAUAUUGAACGUUAACGUG